GUGAAUCAUCAAAUUUUUGAACGCAAAUUGCACUCUCUGGUAUUCCGGAAAGUAUGCCUGUUUGAGGGUCAGUUAAAUAAUAAUCGGUGUUGUUGCUGCUUUUCGUGGUGACGCGUUGGAAUUGUGUUGUCUUAACUUUGGUUAAGUGACUUAAAAUUUUGCAUGAUUUUCGAAAGUAUUUAAAUUUCUUACGUACGUUUGAGAUAUCGAAUACUUUAUUAGGUUCGGUCAUUCUCAUGAUUUGCACCUAUAAUUUUACAUUAAAUGUACUAAUAUCA
rnacentral:misc_RNA from 1 species